UCCCCGAUAGCUCAGUUGGUAGAGCAAUUGACUGUUAAUCAAUGGGUCGCUGGUUCGAGUCCAGCUCGGGGAGCCA
rnacentral:tRNA from 4 species